rnacentral:miRNA from 1 species
CUGCUCUGCUUUGUGGCCAAGGCCAAGUCAGAAGGACAGACAGAGGGAAUGGGCAGGA